UUAAGCGACUAAGCGUACACGGUGGAUGCCCUGGCAGUCAGAGGCGAUGAAGGACGUGCUAAUCUGCGAAAAGCGUCGGUAAGGUGAUAUGAACCGUUAUAACCGGCGAUGUCCGAAUGGGGAAACCCAGUGCAAUUCGUUGCACUAUCGUUAACUGAAUACAUAGGUUAACGAGGCGAACCGGGGGAACUGAAACAUCUAAGUACCCCGAGGAAAAGAAAUCAACCGAGAUUCCCCCAGUAGCGGCGAGCGAACGGGGAGCAGCCCAGAGUCUGAAUCAGCUUGUGUGUUAGUGGAACGGUCUGGAAAGUCCGACGGUACAGGGUGAUAGUCCCGUACACCAAAAUGCACAGGCUGUGAACUCGAAGAGUAGGGCGGGACACGUGGUAUCCUGUCUGAAUAUGGGGGGACCAUCCUCCAAGGCUAAAUACUCCUGACUGACCGAUAGUGAACCAGUACCGUGAGGGAAAGGCGAAAAGAACCCCGGCGAGGGGAGUGAAAAAGAACCUGAAACCGUGUACGUACAAGCAGUGGGAGCACCUUCGGGUGUGACUGCGUACCUUUUGUAUAAUGGGUCAGCGACUUAUAUUCUGUAGCAAGGUUAACCGUAUAGGGGAGCCGCAGGGAAACCGAGUCUUAACUGGGCGUUAAGUUGCAGGGUAUAGACCCGAAACCCGGUGAUCUAGCCAUGGGCAGGUUGAAGGUUGGGUAACACUAACUGGAGGACCGAACCGACUAAUGUUGAAAAAUUAGCGGAUGACUUGUGGCUGGGGGUGAAAGGCCAAUCAAACCGGGAGAUAGCUGGUUCUCCCCGAAAGCUAUUUAGGUAGCGCCUCGUGAAUUCAUCUUCGGGGGUAGAGCACUGUUUCGGCUAGGGGGUCAUCCCGACUUACCAACCCGAUGCAAACUACGAAUACCGAAGAAUGUUAUCACGGGAGACACACGGCGGGUGCUAACGUCCGUCGUGAAGAGGGAAACAACCCAGACCGCCAGCUAAGGUCCCAAAGUCAUGGUUAAGUGGGAAACGAUGUGGGAAGGCACAGACAGCCAGGAUGUUGGCUUAGAAGCAGCCAUCAUUUAAAGAAAGCGUAAUAGCUCACUGGUCGAGUCGGCCUGCGCGGAAGAUGUAACGGGGCUAAACCAUGCACCGAAGCUGCGGCAGCGACACUAUGUGUUGUUGGGUAGGGGAGCGUUCUGUAAGCCUGCGAAGGUGACCUGUGAGGGUUGCUGGAGGUAUCAGAAGUGCGAAUGCUGACAUAAGUAACGAUAAAGCGGGUGAAAAGCCCGCUCGCCGGAAGACCAAGGGUUCCUGUCCAACGUUAAUCGGGGCAGGGUGAGUCGACCCCUAAGGCGAGGCCGAAAGGCGUAGUCGAUGGGAAACAGGUUAAUAUUCCUGUACUUGGUGUUACUGCGAAGGGGGGACGGAGAAGGCUAUGUUAGCCGGGCGACGGUUGUCCCGGUUUAAGCAUGUAGGCUGGUUAUCCAGGCAAAUCCGGAUAAUCAAGGCUGAGGUGUGAUGACGAGGCACUACGGUGCUGAAGUAACAAAUGCCCUGCUUCCAGGAAAAGCCUCUAAGCAUCAGGUAACAUUAAAUCGUACCCCAAACCGACACAGGUGGUCAGGUAGAGAAUACCAAGGCGCUUGAGAGAACUCGGGUGAAGGAACUAGGCAAAAUGGUGCCGUAACUUCGGGAGAAGGCACGCUGGUGUGUAGGUGAAGUCCCUGCGGAUGGAGCUGAGACCAGUCGAAGAUACCAGCUGGCUGCAACUGUUUAUUAAAAACACAGCACUGUGCAAACACGAAAGUGGACGUAUACGGUGUGACGCCUGCCCGGUGCCGGAAGGUUAAUUGAUGGGGUUAUCCGUAAGGAGAAGCUCUUGAUCGAAGCCCCGGUAAACGGCGGCCGUAACUAUAACGGUCCUAAGGUAGCGAAAUUCCUUGUCGGGUAAGUUCCGACCUGCACGAAUGGCGUAAUGAUGGCCAGGCUGUCUCCACCCGAGACUCAGUGAAAUUGAACUCGCUGUGAAGAUGCAGUGUACCCGCGGCAAGACGGAAAGACCCCGUGAACCUUUACUAUAGCUUGACACUGAACAUUGAGCCUUGAUGUGUAGGAUAGGUGGGAGGCUUUGAAGCGUGGACGCCAGUCUGCGUGGAGCCAACCUUGAAAUACCACCCUUUAAUGUUUGAUGUUCUAACGUUGGCCCCUUAUCGGGGUUGCGGACAGUGUCUGGUGGGUAGUUUGACUGGGGCGGUCUCCUCCCAAAGCGUAACGGAGGAGCACGAAGGUUAGCUAAUCCUGGUCGGACAUCAGGAGGUUAGUGCAAUGGCAUAAGCUAGCUUGACUGCGAGCGUGACGGCGCGAGCAGGUGCGAAAGCAGGUCAUAGUGAUCCGGUGGUUCUGAAUGGAAGGGCCAUCGCUCAACGGAUAAAAGGUACUCCGGGGAUAACAGGCUGAUACCGCCCAAGAGUUCAUAUCGACGGCGGUGUUUGGCACCUCGAUGUCGGCUCAUCACAUCCUGGGGCUGAAGUAGGUCCCAAGGGUAUGGCUGUUCGCCAUUUAAAGUGGUACGCGAGCUGGGUUUAGAACGUCGUGAGACAGUUCGGUCCCUAUCUGCCGUGGGCGCUGGAGAAUUGAGGGGGGCUGCUCCUAGUACGAGAGGACCGGAGUGGACGCAUCACUGGUGUUCGGGUUGUCAUGCCAAUGGCACUGCCCGGUAGCUAAAUGCGGAAGAGAUAAGUGCUGAAAGCAUCUAAGCACGAAACUUGCCCCGAGAUGAGUUCUCCCUGAGACUUUAAGUCUCCUGAAGGAACGUUAAAGACGAUGACGUUGAUAGGCCGGGUGUGUAAGCGCAGCGAUGCGUUGAGCUAACCGGUACUAAUGAACCGUGAGGCUUAACCUU
rnacentral:rRNA from 1 species